GGGCUGCCUCGGGGCCUGCUCCCGCGCGGCUGGCGGCUUGUACUCCGGUCCUAACACCUGACCGCCUAAAGGCACCGGCCCAGCCCCUCCUCUCUUUCCCGACUGCACUGCACAAGUGCCGCCUCCUCUCUAGAUCCGAGCGCCUCCAGCCUCCCGGUGCAUCAGAGUCACCUGGGAACUCCUGCACCGGAGGAUUCCUGGGCUCCGAAAUCAGAAUCCUAGAGAUUCAGAUUCAGUGUGUCUGGGAGGAGCCAAGGAAUAUGCUUGCUUAAGAGGUGUUUGUGGCAAUCCUCUGGCAUGGUAGGUAGCCUUUGUUUGACCCCUGCCUAGGCACUCACCAUUCGCGUCAGUGUCUUACACACAUGACGCUCAGAGCCACAGAGGUUGGAGGGGUGUGUGAGUGUGUGUGGAGAGAGAGAGAAUAUGUCUAUAUGUAUGGAUGUAUGUACACAUACGCACGCAUAUACACAUACAUAUGUAUGUAAAAGAGACAUGGAGACAGAGAGACUGAUGGAAAGCCAUACCCUUGAGCAAAUGCCAGAAUGAGACAAAGAGUUUUCUUUGAAAUAGUUUUCAGAUAAUUGCAGUUAUCAAGGCAUAUUUAUUUUGUCCUCUAGAAAGAUAGGCCUGAACUCUAGUUCCCCCUCCUUCCCCAAUCCAUUACAAUCUGUAGAAGAGAAUGUCACAUACCAGCCAUGUCUCCCACAUGCAAAAUUGCAGGAGGCAUUAGGAACACAGUGGGAUUUUGUUCCACUCUGAUGGAAAUAUGGCAUCUUUGGUUGGAGGGUGAGGGAGCCAUGUACUUGGUUGACUAUGUCUAGGUGCUAGGAUUUCUAUAGGUAGAACCCUUUGGUGCAGGUCUUGCAGUAUAAAAGACACCUGGAGGUAGUUCUGUAUGA
rnacentral:lncRNA from 1 species